UAAUUGAGACAGGGAUCUCAAAAGCAAUUUUCUAUCAUCAGCAGGGUCGUCAGGAUCUGAAUACCAUUGACAUUAAACUGUGGAAGGGUUCUGAAAGGGCGGAUUUGUGGAUGAGAAAUUCAAAUUGAACUUCCUGUUCUGUUUUGAUAGUUACUUGAUCCGUGCCGAUCUGAAUAUCAUUGGCCUUUUCAUGUGGAAGGAAAGGGUGAUAGAUGGUGAAGAUUCACAGACUGAAAUCUCAAAAUCAUGUGCAGAUCGUGAUUAAGUUAACCAGCAUUUGACGAACCAAAGACUGAGAGUCAAUCGGCCAAAGUCCUGCAACACUCUCCCUCACAGCAUUGUCGGUCUAUCAGCACCAAAUGGACUGUGAUUGGUUCGAGACAGCAG